UGUGUUGACUCCACGUCAAGUAAUACUCAUUUCCAGUAUGAGGUUCCAGACACAGGAAUUCCAGAAACAGGAGUAUGAUGUUCCAGAAACAGGAGUAUGAUGUUCCAGAAACAGGAGUAUGAGGUUCCAGACACAGGAGUAUGAGGUCCCAGACGCAGAAGUUCCAGAAACAGGAGUAUGAGGUUCCAGAAACAGGAGUAUGAGGUUCC